AUGAACGCUGGCGGCGUGCCUAAUACAUGCCAGUCGAGCGAACAGACGAGGAGCUUGCUCCUCUGACGUUAGCGGCGGACGGGUGAGUAACACGUGGAUAACCUACCUAUAAGACUGGGAUAACUUCGGGAAACCGGAGCUAAUACCGGAUAACAUGUUGAACCGCCUGGUUCAACAGUGAAAGACGGUUUUGCUGUCACUUAUAGAUGGAUCCGCGUCGCAUUAGCUAGUUGGUAAGGUAACGGCUUACCAAGGCAACGAUGCGUAGCCGACCUGAGAGGGUGAUCGGCCACACUGGAACUGAGACACGGUCCAGACUCCUACGGGAGGCAGCAGUAGGGAAUCUUCCGCAAUGGGCGAAAGCCUGACGGAGCAACGCCGCGUGAGUGAAGAAGGUCUUCGGAUCGUAAAACUCUGUUAUUAGGGAAGAACAAAUGUGUAAGUAACUAUGCACGUCUUGACGGUACCUAAUCAGAAAGCCACGGCUAACUACGUG
rnacentral:rRNA from 1 species